rnacentral:lncRNA from 1 species
GCUGGACAGAGAGCUGCCUCCCUUUCUUCCACUGGGAUGAUGGCUUCUGCUUUUGUGAAGAACACAGGUAUCCUGCACCUCCUCUUGUUUGGACUCCUUCUACCUUCAGUAUUAGUGUCAGUGGAAGUCCUCGAUUCAGUGAAUACUUCAACUGUUGCACCAACACUGACAUCUUCCUCCAUCACCUCCGUAACCUCCAUCCAGCAAACGCCUACUGACAUGUCCCCACCGUCUUCUGCCACCAGCAGUCCAGGGAGUUCCAACACAAUGAUGACUUUUCCCACCAUGAACUCGACUGCUAAUGGAACUAUGUCCAACAGCACUUCAAUGAACAUGACACAUCUUCAUUGCCAUUCGUUCUCGUGCUUCUCCUCUGAGUGCUACUGGAUGUACAUGAAUCAGAAUGCAACCAGGUGUACUGCUGCGUAUUGUCAGCUGUUGAAGACUAAAGAUAUGUGGUACAGCGUAGGCUGCAGCGCCUCUUGUGCAGAAAGGUGCACCAACGCCACCCAGACCAACUGCUCCGUGAACUGCUGCAACUCUACCGGGUGCCUCAGGAGCAACUUUGAAUCCAUGAAUGCAACCCUAACCACAACGGCAGCGGCAACGACAUCAACAACAAAAGCCACCCAGUCUUCCUCCACAACAACCUUAGCACCAGCAGACAAUCAAAACCAGUGCAGCACAGGAACCUGCACUGGUGAUGGUUGUUACUCUGCCUUCAAGACCACACUUCAAGCAUGCACCUCUGCACAGCCUCAUUGUCAGUUGCAGAAGCAGCUGGUGAAUGCCGCCGCAUCGUGGACAGCAGGUUGCACCAACUGCACCGGUCUGACCACCUGCCAGGGCACGACACAACCUCCGUGUGUUCAGGAGUGUUGCAAGGCCUCCACUACCUCCUGCCUGAAGCUGGACGGCUCGGUGAACGUCUUCUCCUCCGCCACCAGAGGACCCCACCUGCACACGGAGUUGCUCGUUUCCAUCCUCAGCCUGCUUGCAAUGGCUUUGUUGCUGUGA